rnacentral:rRNA from 1 species
UAGGGGUUCUGAGAGGAAGGUCCCCCACAUUGGAACUGAGACACGGUCCAAACUCCUACGGGAGGCAGCAG